rnacentral:rRNA from 1 species
UACGGAGGAUCCGAGCGUUAUCCGGAUUUAUUGGGUUUAAAGGGUGCGCAGGCGGGAUGUUAAGUCGGCGGUGAAAUUUUGCAGCUCAACUGUAAAAGUGCCUUCGAUACUGGCUUCCUUGAGUGUGGAUGAAGUAGGCGGAAUUUGUGGUGUAGCGGUGAAAUGCAUAGAUAUCACGAGGAACUCCGAUUGCGCAGGCAGCUUACUAAACUACUACUGACGCUCAGGCACGAAGGCGUGGGGAUCAAACAGGAUUAGAUACCCCCGUA